GGUGACCUUCGGGAACUCUGACACAGGUGCUGCAUGGCUGUCGUCAGCUCGUGUCGUGAGAUGUUGGGUUAAGUCCCGUAACGAGCGCAACCCUUGUCCUUAGUUACCAGCACGUUAUGGUGGGCACUCUAAGGAGACUGCCGGUGACGAAACCGGAGGAAGGUGAGGAUGACGUCAAGUCAUCAUGGCCCUUACGGCCUGGGCUACACACGUGCUACAAUGGUCGGUACAAAGGGUUGCCAAGCCGCGAGGUGGAGCUAAUACCCAUAAAACCGAUCGUAGUCCGGAUCGCAGUCUGCAACUCGACUGCGUGAAGUCGGAAUCGCUAGUAAUCGUGAAUCAGAAUGUCACGGUGAAUACGUUCCCGGGCCUU
rnacentral:rRNA from 1 species